rnacentral:rRNA from 1 species
CCUACGGGAGGCAGCAGUAAGGAAUAUUGGUCAAUGGGCGCAAGCCUGAACCAGCCAUGCCGCGUGCAGGAAGACGGCCCUAUGGGUUGUAAACUGCUUUUGAACAAGAGAAAACCUCGGUACGUGUACCGAGCUGAUAGUAUUGUUAGAAUAAGCAUCGGCUAACUUCGUGCCAGCAGCCGCGGUAAGACGAAGGAUGCAAGCGUUAUCCGGAUUCAUUGGGUUUAAAGGGUGCGUAGGCGGCCUGAUAAGUCAGUGGUGAAAUCUCUCAGCUUAACUGAGAAACUGCCAUUGAUACUGUCGGGCUUGAGUACAGAUGAUGUGGGCGGAAUAUGACAUGUAGUGGUGAAAUACUUAGAUAUGUCAUAGAACACCGAUUGCGAAGGCAGCUCACAAAACUGUAACUGACGCUGAGGCACGAAAGUGCGGGGAUCAAACAGGAUUAGAUACCCUGGUAGUCCGCACCGUAAACGAUGAUUACUCGUUGUUGGCAAUAUGACCGUCAGCGACCAAGCGAAAGCAAUAAGUAAUCCACCUGGGGAGUACGCCGGCAACGGUGAAACGUCAAAGGAAUUAGACGGCGUUGAGGACGNGCGAGACGACGACGAGGGAGAG